GAUGAACGCUGACAGAAUGCUUAACACAUGCAAGUCGAUGGGGAAGUGGUGCUUGCACCAUGGUAACCAUGGCGGACGGGUGAGUAACGCGUAAGGAACUUGCCUGCGGGACUGGGAUAACAGCAGGAAACUGCUGAUAAUACCGGAUAAGGUCAUUAAGCUGCAUAGCUUAGUGAUGAAAGGAGACGCCUGCGGAGAGCCUUGCGUCCUAUUAGCUAGUUGGAGGGGUAACGGCCCACCAAGGCGAAGAUAGGUAGCCGGCCUGAGAGGGUGGACGGCCACAAGGGGACUGAGAUACGGCCCUUACUCCUACGGGAGGCAGCAGUGGGGAAUAGUGGACAAUGGGGGCAACCCUGAUCCAGCAAUUCUGUGUGCACGAAGACGGUUUUCGGAUUGUAAAGUGCUUUCAGCAGGGAAGAAGGAAGUGACGGUACCUGCAGAAGGAGCGACGGCUAAAUACGUG
rnacentral:rRNA from 1 species